rnacentral:rRNA from 1 species
AUUGAACGCUGGCGGCAGGCCUAACACAUGCAAGUCGAGCGAGCGGCGGACGGGUGAGUAAUGUAUGGGGACUGCCCGAUAGAGGGGGAUAACUACUGGAAACGGUAGCUAAUACCGCAUACUAUCGGAUAACCCAUAUGGGAUUAGCUAGUAGGUGAGGUAAUGGCUCACCUAGGCGACGAUCCCUAGCUGGUCUGAGAGGAUGACCAGCCACACUGGGACUUGGACACGGCCCGGUCUCCUACGGGGUAAGCGGUGGGGAAUAUUGCAAAUGGGGCGCAAGCCUGAGGCAGCCAGGCGGCGUGGAUGAAGAAGGCCCUAGGGUUGUAAAGUACUUUCAGUAGGGAGGCGUUACCGACAGAAGAAGCACCGGCUAACUCCGUGCCAGCAGCCGCGGUAAUUC